UGUGAGCUCGAUGAGUAGGGCGGGACACGUGGUAUCCUGUCUGAAUAUGGGGGGACCAUCCUCCAAGGCUAAAUACUCCUGACUGACCGAUAGUGAACCAGUACCGUGAGGGAAAGGCGAAAAGAACCCCGGCGAGGGGAGUGAAAAAGAACCUGAAACCGUGUACGUACAAGCAGUGGGAGCACAGGUUUACCUGUGUGACUGCGUACCUUUUGUAUAAUGGGUCAGCGACUUAUAUUCUGUAGCAAGGUUAACCGUAUAGGGGAGCCGGAGGGAAACCGAGUCUUAAUUGGGCGUUAAGUUGCAGGGUAUAGACCCGAAACCCGGUGAUCUAGCCAUGGGCAGGUUGAAGGUUGGGUAACACUAACUGGAGGACCGAACCGACUAAUGUUGAAAAAUUAGCGGAUGACCUGUGGCUGGGGGUGAAAGGCCAAUCAAACCGGGAGAUAGCUGGUUCUCCCCGAAAGCUAUUUAGGUAGCGCCUCGUGAAUUCAUCUCCGGGGGUAGAGCACUGUUUCGGCUAGGGGGCCAUCCCGGCUUACCAACCCGAUGCAAACUGCGAAUACCGGAGAAUGUUAUCACGGGAGACACACGGCGGGUGCUAACGUCCGUCGUGAAGAGGGAAACAACCCAGACCGCCAGCUAAGGUCCCAAAGUCAUGGUUAAGUGGGAAACGAUGUGGGAAGGCCCAGACAGCCAGGAUGUUGGCUUAGAAGCAGCCAUCAUUUAAAGAAAGCGUAAUAGCUCACUGGUCGAGUCGGCCUGCGCGGAAGAUGUAACGGGGCUAAACCAUGCACCGAAGCUGCGGCAGCGACGCUUAUGCGUUGUUGGGUAGGGGAGCGUUCUGUAAGCCUGUGAAGGUGUGUCGUGAGGCAUGCUGGAGGUAUCAGAAGUGCGAAUGCUGACAUAAGUAACGAUAAAGCGGGUGAAAAGCCCGCUCGCCGGAAGACCAAGGGUUCCUGUCCAACGUUAAUCGGGGCAGGGUGAGUCGACCCCUAAGGCGAGGCCGAAAGGCGUAGUCGAUGGGAAACGGGUUAAUAUUCCCGUACUUGGUGUUACUGCGAAGGGGGGACGGAGAAGGCUAUGUUGGCCGGGCGACGGUUGUCCCGGUUUAAGCGUGUAGGUGUGUGUUCCAGGUAAAUCCGGUUCACUUUAACACUGAGGCGUGACGACGAGGCACUACGGUGCUGAAGCAACAAAUGCCCUGCUUCCAGGAAAAGCCUCUAAGCAUCAGGUAACAUCAAAUCGUACCCCAAACCGACACAGGUGGUCAGGUAGAGAAUACCAAGGCGCUUGAGAGAACUCGGGUGAAGGAACUAGGCAAAAUGGUGCCGUAACUUCGGGAGAAGGCACGCUGACACGUAGGUGAAGUGAUUUACUCAUGGAGCUGAAGUCAGUCGAAGAUACCAGCUGGCUGCAACUGUUUAUUAAAAACACAGCACUGUGCAAACACGAAAGUGGACGUAUACGGUGUGACGCCUGCCCGGUGCCGGAAGGUUAAUUGAUGGGGUCAGCGCAAGCGAAGCUCCUGAUCGAAGCCCCGGUAAACGGCGGCCGUAACUAUAACGGUCCUAAGGUAGCGAAAUUCCUUGUCGGGUAAGUUCCGACCUGCACGAAUGGCGUAAUGAUGGCCAGGCUGUCUCCACCCGAGACUCAGUGAAAUUGAACUCGCUGUGAAGAUGCAGUGUACCCGCGGCAAGACGGAAAGACCCCGUGAACCUUUACUAUAGCUUGACACUGAACAUUGAGCCUUGAUGUGUAGGAUAGGUGGGAGGCUU
rnacentral:rRNA from 1 species